rnacentral:miRNA from 1 species
GCCUCUGGUGGUCGGUUUGU